rnacentral:rRNA from 1 species
UACAGAGGUCUCAAGCGUUGUUCGGAUUCAUUGGGCGUAAAGGGUGCGUAGGCGGCGCGGUAAGUCGGGUGUGAAAUUUCGAGGCUUAACUUCGAAACUGCAUUCGAUACUGCCGUGCUAGAGGACUGGAGAGGAGACUGGAAUUUACGGUGUAGCGGUGAAAUGCGUAGAUAUCGUAAGGAAGACCAGUGGCGAAGGCGGGUCUCUGGACAGUUCCUGACGCUGAGGCACGAAGGUCAGGGGAGCAAACAGG